UACGGGGGGGGUAAGCGUUGUUCGGAAUUACUGGGCGUAAAGCGCGUGUAGGCGGCCCACUAAGUCUGAUGUGAAAGCCCGGGGCUCACCCCCGGAAGUGCAUUGGAAACUGGUGGACUCGAGUCCCGGAGAGGAGAGUGGAAUUCCUGGUGUAGCGGUGAAAUGCGUAGAUAUCAGGAGGAACACCGGUGGCGAAGGCGGCUCUCUGGACGGUGACUGACGCUGAGACGCGAAAGCGUGGGGAGCAAACAGG
rnacentral:rRNA from 1 species